UCGCCAGGAUGACUUCUUAGGACACCUUUGGAUCAACUGAUGAAAAGAACAUGAAAGUUCUGAGCGAC